CCGUCACUGCUAUCGGGUUCGAUUAGCCAUGCGAGUUGAGAGGGUUUAGACCCUCAGCGGACUGCUCAGUAACACGUGGAUAACCUGCCCUAAGGUGGAGAAUAACCCCGGGAAACUGGGGAUAAUACUCCAUAGACUAGAGACACUGGAAUGUUCUUUAGUCGAAAGCUGAGGCUUAGGAUGGAUCUGCUCGAUUAGGUUGUUGUUGGGGUAACGGCCCAACAAGCCUGUAAUCGAUACGGGUUGUGGGAGCAAGAGCCCGGAGAUGGAAUCUGAGACACGAUUCCAGGCCCUACGGGGCGCAGGCGCGAAAACUUUACAAUGCAGGAAACUGUGAUAAGGGAACCCCGAGUGCCCGUAUACGCGGGCUGUGUGUUUAAAAAGCAUCUGAAGAAAGGGCCGGGCAAGACCGGUGCCAGCCGCCGCGGUAAUACCGGCGGCUCGCGUGGUGGCCACCAUUAUUGGGCUUAAAGCGUCCGUAGCUGGACUCUUAAGUCUCUUGGGAAAUCCGCCGGCUUAACCGACGGGCGUCUAAGAGAUACUGGGAGUCUAGGGACCGGGAGAGGUGAGAGGUACUCCGGGGGUAGGAGUGAAAUCCUG
rnacentral:rRNA from 1 species